rnacentral:lncRNA from 1 species
UCGCCCCUCGACUUCCAAUGUCGCCUCCGCGCCGCCAAACCCCACCCCUUCCUCCCUUCCCUUCCCCAUUCCCCUCCCUCCCCGUUCUCCUCCUCCCUCCCUCUUCCCUGCCGCCCACCCUUCCCCGUCGCGGUGGGAGCAGUGGGCCUCCACAGAGGCGCCCUUGCUGAGGGAGGGAGCAGUCGCGGGCAGAGCUGCACGGCCAUAGGCGGCGUUGCAUAGCGGAGGGCGACGGAAGGGAGGAGGGUGUCAGCGGCGAGGGGUUUUCCGCGGAGGCGGCCUUGCUGAGGGAGGAGGCAACCGUGGGCUGCGCUGCACAGCGACGAGGGCGGUGGAAGGGAGAAGGGCAUCAGCGGUGAGGGCCUCCGUCGCGGUGGGAGUAGCGGCGAGGGUGACGGAGGCCCUCGUGGCUGAUGCCCUUGCCACCCGCCUCCGCUCUACCCGCUUCACCCACCGCGACGCGGAAGUGUGGGUAGGGGGGAGGAGAACGGAGGGAGGGGAAGGGAAGGAAGGGGGCGACGGCGACGGCGGAGGAGGGGGCGGGGGGAGCCAGAGGAGGUGGUGGCAGUGCUGCGACAUUGGCGAAGAGGGCCAGCAACAGUGGCCUGUAGGGUGUCGCUGCUUGCGAUGGGUGGAAGCGACGGGCGCCGUCGCUAGUGAUGGGCGGC